GAUGAACGCUGGCGGCGCGCCUAACACAUGCAAGUCGAACGGUUAAAGCACCUUUUAGGUGUGUAUAAAGUGGCGAACGGCUGAUUAACACGUGGGCAACCUGCCCUCCUCUUGGGGAUAGCCUCGGGAAACCGAGGAUAAUACCCGAUACUUCAAUGUGGCCGCAUGACGACAUUGAGAAAGCUUUUGCGGAGAAGGAUGGGCCCGCGGCCUGUUAGCUUGUUGGUGGGGUAGAGGCCUACCAAGGCAAUGAUGGGUAGCUGGGUUGAGAGACCGACCAGCCAGAUUGGGACUGAGACACGGCCCAGACUCCUACGGGAGGCAGCAGUGGGGAAUCUUGCACAAUGGGCGAAAGCCUGAUGCAGCGACGCCGCGGGCGGGACGAAGGCCUUCGGGUUGGAAACCGCUUUCAGCAGGGACGAGGCGAUAAGUGACGGUACCUGCAGAAGAAGCCCCGGCUAACUACGUG
rnacentral:rRNA from 1 species